UUGUUUAAGAAGUUUCAUUCUAUUUUUUUUUUUUUACGAUUUUGGUUUGGCUUUGAGGAUGGGUUGGGUCGCCAUGCUUUAUCUCGCCGUCGUUCCUGCCCUCAACCGAGUUUCCCUUUUUGUGCUUGGCUUUAGACUAUAAAUUUAGCUUCUGAGUUUAAUUUGGGGUUUGGUUUGGUUUCAACGAUUAUCUGAACAAGCUUCUCCUAAUCGGCGACUCUUCCGUUGGAAAAUCCUACUUGCUUCUCAGAUUCGCUGUGAGUUAUCACUUUAUUUGCUUCUCCUAAUCUCUCUUUUUGUUCACUUCCUUUGUUUCUUCGUUUCGUUUCAGGAUGACUCCUAGGUCGACAGCUACGAAAUCAGAACCGUGGACUUGGAGGGGAAAACCGUCGAGCUGCAGAUUGUGAGUAUUCUUAGGAAGUCCGAGAUUCUGUCCAUGUCUCACUUGAGACUCUCAAUGAACGAAAGUAGCAAGCCUUCAUUUAAAUGGCGAAGGGUUUUGCUCAAAGUUAGCGGAGAAGCACUUGCUGGAGACCACUCUUAGAACAUUGACCCUAAGAUAACCAUGGCCAUUCCAAGGGAGGUGGCAGCAGUGACUCGCCUUGGCAUUGAGUGGGAUGGAGCUGGACAGGAGCGAUUCAGGACUAUAACAAGCAGUUAUUAUAGAGGAGGGGAUGCCAAAGAUACCAGUAGAUCAUCAGAGAAAAAUUCAAUUGAAGAAGAGAUUGAAACUUAAACUAUUGAAGCACAAACAUUUUCUAGCAAAAAAUGGGGAAGAAGAGAAAGCAGUAAGACAACUCAUGACGAGGCACAACCCCAAAAGGAACAACUCAUGAUGAGGCACAGCCGGAAAAUAAAUUUUUUUGGCUUGCUUUAUUUUGCCCAUUUUUUUCUAAAUCAUGCACACAUCUUGGUUUGAUUCGUGCCUUAGCUGUACGGACAAUUGCAUGUGUUUAUUUUGUUAUCAAUUUAUAAAGCUUUAAAGUGAAUUGUGGUCAUAUCAAAACAAUCUCUUCUUAACAUUAAUCAUUAGAAGACCGGUUGAUGUUUUUUUAAAUAGGUUUAAUUGAUAUAAUGCUCCUAAUUAAUUAUGCAUUGCGAUGUUUGGUUACUUUAAUACUUAUUGUACUUGGUAGUCAAUCUCAAUGUUCUUUCUUUCUUGGUAAUGCAUCACUGUUCUAUUGCUUACAGAAUCUCUAAUUUUUUGGCAGCAACAAUGUCAAAAAUUAUUAAAGAGAUGUUACCCCCAGAUGUACGUGUUGCAAGAGAUGCCCAAGAUCUAUUGAUUGAGUGUUGUGUAGGUUAAUUGCCAAGUUUGUGGCGUGGAUUAUAAGCAGAGCCGGCUAUAGUGGUGCUACACCGCUGUGUUGCGGCUAUGGGCCCCUCCAUUGAAGCCCAUCCAUUGCCUGGAGCGCUGUGGAUUGCAGCCACAUUGACGGCUAUUUGCUUUGUGGUAUCAGCGGGCACAACUUUGACUAUUGAUUGAAAACCCUUGUUUACUCCCACAAUACUGCAUUGUUUAAGAUUUAUUUUGGGGGCCAUUUUGGUGAUUUUAAUGUUAAAAGUCUCACCAAAAUACUACCAAAAACAUUCUCAACUAAAUACAGUGACUAAAUAUGAAGCAGCCAUAGCGGUUAUUGGUUUUUAUGUUGUUAUUUGGGGGAAAAGCCAAGAGCAAGCAAAGGAAGAGGGUGAAGUUUAUGAUGACUCGGAAUCAUACUCGCCCGUUGUCCCUCUUUUGGAGAACAAGAGAAUGGAGGAAUAGAAUCAUAGCAAUCAUUUAA